AGGGUUGUGGCUCAGUGGUAGAGUGCUUGCCUGGCAUGCAUGAGGCACUGGGUUCAAUCCUCAGCACCACCU
rnacentral:tRNA from 1 species